GAUGAACGCUAGCGGAAGGCUUAAUACAUGCAAGUCGAGCGGUAGGUGGCUUCGGCCAUUGAGAGCGGCGCACGGGUGAGUAACGCGUACAUGACCUGCCUGUCAGAAGGGGAUAGCCCUGGGAAACUGGGAUUAAUACCCUAUGGUAUUGAUAUUAUGAAUGAUAUCAAUUAAAGUUGAGGCGCUGACAGAUGGAUGUGCGUCUGAUUAGCUAGUUGGUAGGGUAACGGCCUACCAAGGCGACGAUCAGUAGGGGGCUGAGAGCGUGGUCCCCCANACGGGUACUGAGACACGGACCCGACUCCUACGGGAGGCAGCAGUAAGGAAUAUUGGUCAAUGCCCGCAAGGGUGAACCAGCCAUUCCGCGUGGAGGAUGAAGGCCCUAUGGGUUGUAAACUUCUUUUAGAUGGGAAGAAAAUGCUAGAUGUAUCUGGUACUGACGGUACCAUCAGAAUAAGCACGGCUAACUCCGUGCCAGCAGCCGC
rnacentral:rRNA from 1 species